CAUCAAAUGUUUGUGUAUAAAUUAUAUUUUACAAAGUAAACAUGGUCAAGCUAUCAUUAUAUUUGCAAUAUUUCAUAGCGUGGCUAGAAGACUUGGUCUACGUUGCGAUAUAAUACUUAUUUGGCCUCGCUAUUGUAUAUUUUGGAGACCGAAAUUCGUCACAAGUAGUUUAAAAA